UCUAACCAUCGGGUCCUAAUGGCUCCAUGUCCCUCUAACCAUCGGGUCCUAAUGGAUCCAUGUCCCCCUAACCAUCGGGUCCUAAUGGCUCCAUGUCCCUCUAACCAUCGGGUCCUAAUGGCUCCAUGUCCCUCUAACCAUCGGGUCCUAAUGGCUCCAUGUCCCUCUAACCAUCGGGUCCUAAUGGCUCCAUGUCCCUCUAACCAUCGGGUCCUAAUGGCUCCAUGUCCCUCUAACCAUCGGGUCCUAAUGGCUCCAUGUCCCUCUAACCAUCGGGUCCUAAUGGCUCCAUGUCCCUCUAACCAUCGGGUCCUAAUGGCUCCAUGUCCCUCUAACCAUCGGGUCCUAAUGGCUCCAUGUCCCUCUAACCAUCGGGUCCUAAUGGCUCCAUGUCCCUCUAACCAUCGGGUCCUAAUGGCUCCAUGUCCCUCUAACCAUCAGGUCCUAAUGGCUCCAUGUCCCUCUAACCAUCAGGUCCUAAUGGCUCCAUGUCCCUCUAACCAUCAGGUCCUAAUGGCUCCAUGUCCCUCUAACCAUCAGGUCCUAAUGGCUCCAUGUCCCCCUAACCAUCAGGUCCUAAUGGCUCCAUGUCCCUCUAACCAUCAGGUCCUAAUGGCUCCAUGUCCCUCUAACCAUCAGG